CUCCCACCCACUCUCAAUACCACCAUGAAGCCCACCCUGCUCAGCCCCUUCCUGAUGUUCCUAAUCUUCUCCCUGCUGCUACCUCCACUGAUGGGGAGCUUCCUUUUUAAAGGACGCCCAAGUCCUACAAAGACAUCCCACAAAAGUCCUUCACCUCCUCCCCUGGAUUCGAGUGAACCACUUCCUAGUACUGACAACACCACAGGGGCUCCUGCAAAUACAGGGAUCACU